GUCAGGAUAGCUCAGUUGGUAGAGCAGAGGACUGAAAAUCCUCGNGUCACCAGUUCAAAUA
rnacentral:tRNA from 1 species